CAGAGGUUCUUUCUUUCUUCCAAAAAUUACUUCUUUUAUUUGCGACUAACCUAGGGUUUUCUAUCAUCUAUAAUCUUCGAAAAGAGCACACUAUGUCGGGGAAUUGAUGCAAGAUAGAAUUUGAGGACAAAUCUAGCUAAAAACUAAGCUAAGCUAAAGCUAAACUAAAGGAUAAUUUUCAUUGAUUAUCUCUAAAAUUGGUUACAAGGCAGUAUAUAAAGAAAAGCCUAGCUAAUGGGUAGGGGUCAAACUGAAACUAUUACAAGGGUAAUAGGGUGAAUUUAUAAAUAAAGAAACUAAACUAAAGGGAUCAAAGUGUAGAGGAUGGAACUUAUGUCUAGCUUCUUCAAAACAACUCUUCCACAACAAAGAACAACUCAGCAUGCUUCCUGUACAACCCCAUAAGCUAAUCACAAUCUUUCUCAUGGUCUCCUCCAAUUUAGAUUGCAACAGGAAUAGUUGCUCGUCAAAGAGAAAGCGUCAUUGCUGGGAAAUUACAAACUAUUUCACUUCAAAACUCGUUUUAAUCCUGGAAGGAGAUUCUAUAAGUGUCCAAAACCCGAGAAACAAGGAUGUGAUUAUGGGGAACGACAUGAUACAGAGCAUUUUGGAUGGUGUGUUAAUUGCAAUAAACCAAUUACAAUUACACUUGGAAGCAUCAAAAAGAAAGAUCGAUAUCUUGAAUAUGUCGUUAGAUGAGGCUAAGAAAAGGGACGAGUUGAAGGAAUAAGUGGAAGUCUUGGAGGUUAUCAAGAAUUUUUAAGUCAAUAAGACUAUGGAGAUGUUGAAGAUGAAGAUGUUCAUUAUGAUGUUAUGUAAACUAAUCGUUGGAUUUGUUGCUGCUGUUAUGUUGAAGUGAAACAAUCUAUAAUAGUUGAAUAUUAGGAUGUUUAUUUAGUGUGAGUAGUGAUUUUCUUUCGGAUGUGAUUAAUUGUUGGAUGUGAACCAGAUAUGUUCAUUACGCUUUUGUUGAAGUGAAUGUUAUAUCUGUACUAUUUAAGGAUGUUCAUUAAUAUUGUAUUGUCUAGUCUUUCCAAGUAUUUGUAAUGACUAAGUUAAGUGAAUUUUCAAUUGUAUAAUUCACUACUGCAUCUUA